CCUUCCAAAAAAGCUUUUCUGUGUGCCAGUCCUGAGCAAGGAGAGGACUGCGGACCCAACACUGCAGCCUUUGAAGAGAAUGAGAAAAGCAGCAGUAUGCCUGCUGAGAUCAAGACCAAGGAGACGGAAGCAUCCC